rnacentral:rRNA from 1 species
AGUGAACGCUGGCGGUAGGCCUAACACAUGCAAGUCGAGCGCAGCCCUUCUAGUGCUUGCACUUUAAGGACGCCGAGGGGCGCGGGGGUGUGAAACCUAACGAACCUUCCUUUUCGGCGGGGACAACGGUGGGAAACGUUAGCUAAUACCGGAUAACACCCUUCGGCGAAAGCCAGGGAUUUUCAGGUCUUUUCUGCUUACACUAUGCGAUGGUGUAUUAGCUAGUUGGCGGGGUAAAGGCCCACCAAGGCGACGAUCCGUAGCUGGUCUGAGAGGAUGAUCAGCCACACUGGAACUGAGACACGGUCCAGACUCCUACGGGAGGCAGCAGUGGGGAAUAUUGGACAAUGGGCGCAAGCCUGAUCCAGCCAUACCGCGUGAGUGAAGAAGGCCUUCGGGUUGUAAAGCCCUUUUGUUGGGAAAGAAAAGCAGCAGGUUAAUACCCCGCUGAUCUGACGGUACCCAAAGAAUAAGCACCGGCUAACUUCGUG